UACGAGAAGCACCUCCUGGAUUUGGCUACCAAAGCGCUGCGCUGAACCACUGCUAGGGUUUCCUGCUAGGGCAGGGGAGAUCUGGCGGUUUAGCCACACUACGAGGCGGUUGUGGAAGGUGAAGGAGCAGAAGACGGAUGAUCGAUCAUACGCGGAGGUCGCGAUGGAUUGGCGCCCCCUUCCCCCUCGGCAGGAUCAUGAUGCGCGAAGCGCAUAGCUGUGGAUCAAGUGGUAGAAACUUUUAAGGGAGGAUGAGGUGGUUCUGGAACAAUGGAUAAUAGCGUUGCAACGCUCAGUAAAAGAUCUCCGAAGUUCACGAGCAGGGAUAGGGUGAAGAUGCAGUCUGCCUGGGGCUCUGGCGUAAGGCAGUCGCGUUGUCGGAGUUGGGUUUUGGUGGUUUUCCUUCUCUCUGUGUUUCUUGAUCUCCAUGAUGGUAUAUCUCGGCCUGUGACUCGCUUUAAUAAAAAGCUGGGCUUUGGCCUUUUGUCAAAAAAAAAAAAAUCUUAGAGCAAAGGUCAAAUAAACUAAAAAAACAAAUUCAACUGCAAAUAAAUUCAUAAGACAGCUUUUGCUAUAA